CCUGGCUCAGGAUGAACGCUAGCUACAGGCUUAACACAUGCAAGUCGAGGGGCAGCAUGGUCUUAGCUUGCUAAGGCCGAUGGCGACCGGCGCACGGGUGAGUAACACGUAUCCAACCUGCCGUCUACUCUUGGACAGCCUUCUGAAAGGAAGAUUAAUACAAGAUGGCAUCAUGAGUCUGCAUGUUCACAUGAUUAAAGGUAUUCCGGUAGACGAUGGGGAUGCGUUCCAUUAGAUAGUAGGCGGGGUAACGGCCCACCUAGUCUUCGAUGGAUAGGGGUUCUGAGAGGAAGGUCCCCCACAUUGGAACUGAGACACGGUCCAAACUCCUACGGGAGGCAGCAGUGAGGAAUAUUGGUCAAUGGGCGAGAGCCUGAACCAGCCAAGUAGCGUGAAGGAUGACUGCCCUAUGGGUUGUAAACUUCUUUUAUAAAGGAAUAAAGUCGGGUAUGGAUACCCGUUUGCAUGUACUUUAUGAAUAAGGAUCGGCUAACUCCGUGCCAGCAGCCGCGGUAAUAACGGAGGAUCCGAGCGUUAUCCGGAUUUAUUGGGUUUAAAGGGAGCGUAGAUGGAUGUUUAAGUCAGUUGUGAAAGUUUGCGGCUCAACCGUAAAAAUUGCAGUUGAUACUGGAUAUCUUGAGUGCAGUUGAGGCAGGCGGAAUUCGUGGCGUAGCGGUGAAAUGCUUAGAUAUCACGAAGAACUCCGAUUGCGAAGGCAGCCUGCUAAGCUGCAACUGACAUUGAGGCUCGAAAGUGUGGGUAUCAAACAGGAUUAGAUACCCUGGUAGUCCACACGGUAAACGAUGAAUACUCGCUGUUUGCGAUAUACUGCAAGCGGCCAAGCGAAAGCGUUAAGUAUUCCACCUGGGGAGUACGCCGGCAACGGUGAAACUCAAAGGAAUUGACGGGGGCCCGCACAAGCGGAGGAACAUGUGGUUUAAUUCGAUGAUACGCGAGGAACCUUACCCGGGCUUAAAUUGCAGAUGAAUUACGGUGAAAGCCGUAAGCCGCAGGGCAUCUGUGAAGGUGCUGCAUGGUUGUCGUCAGCUCGUGCCGUGAGGUGUCGGCUUAAGUGCCAUAACGAGCGCAACCCUUGUUGUCAGUUACUAACAGGUUCCGCUGAGGACUCUGACAAGACUGCCAUCGUAAGAUGUGAGGAAGGUGGGGAUGACGUCAAAUCAGCACGGCCCUUACGUCCGGGGCUACACACGUGUUACAAUGGGGGGUACAGAGGGCCGCUACCACGCGAGUGGAUGCCAAUCCCCAAAACCUCUCUCAGUUCGGACUGGAGUCUGCAACCCGACUCCACGAAGCUGGAUUCGCUAGUAAUCGCGCAUCAGCCACGGCGCGGUGAAUACGUUCCCGGGCCUUGUACACACCGCC
rnacentral:rRNA from 1 species